rnacentral:rRNA from 1 species
AACGAACGCUGGCGGCAUGCCUAACACAUGCAAGUCGAACGAGUCCUUCGGGUCUACUGGCGCACUGGUGCGUAACGCGUUGGAACCUGCCCUUAGGUUCGGAAUAACUCCCCGAAAGGGGUGCUAAUACCGGCUAAUGUCUUCGGACCAUAGAUUUAUCGCCUUUGGAUGGGCCCGCGUUGGAUUAGCUAGUUGGUAGGGUAAAAGCCUACCAAGGCGACGAUCCAUAGCUGGUCUGAGAGGAUGAUCAGCCACACUGGGACUGAGACACGGCCCAGACUCCUACGCGAGGCAGCAGUGGGGAAUAUUGGACAAUGGGCGAAAGCCUGAUCCAGCAAUGCCGCGUGAGUGAUGAAGGCCUUAGGGUUGUAAAGCUCUUUUACCCGGGAUGAUAAUGACAUUACCGGGAGAAUAAGCACCGGCUAACUCCGUG